rnacentral:rRNA from 1 species
UGCCAGCCGCCGCGGUAAUACGGAGGGUGCAAGCGUUGUUCGGAAUUAUUGGGCGUAAAGCGCGUGUAGGCGGUUCGUUAAGUCUGAUGUGAAAGCCCGGGGCUCAACCCCGUGAAAUGCAAGCGAUACUGGCGGACUGGAGAUCGGUAGAGGCUAGCGGAAUUCCUGGUGUAGCGGUGGAAUGCGUAGAUAUCAGGAAGAACACCCGUGGCGAAGGCGGCUAGCUGGGCCGAGUCUGACACUGAACCGCGAAAGCGUGGGGAGCAAACAGGAUUAGAUA